rnacentral:rRNA from 1 species
ACAGGUGCUGCAUGGCUGUCGUCAGCUCGUGCGUGAGAUGUUGGGUUAAGUCCGUAACGAGCGCAACCCUUGUCCUUAGUUACCAGCACGUCAUGGUGGGCACUCUAAGGAGACUGCCGGUGACAAACCGGAGGAAGGUGGGGAUGACGUCAAGUCAUCAUGGCCCUUACGGCCUGGGCUACACACGUGCUACAAUGGUCGGUACAAAGGGUUGCCAAGCCGCGAGGUGGGGCUAAUCCCAUAAAACCGAUCGUAGUCCGGAUCGCAGUCUGCAACUCGACUGCGUGAAGUCGGAAUCGCUAGUAAUCGUGAAUCAGAAUGUCACGGUGAAUACGUUCCCGGGCCUU